GUGCCAGCAGCCGCGGUAAUACGUAGGGUGCAAGCGUUAAUCGGAAUUACUGGGCGUAAAGCGUGCGCAGGCGGUUUUGUAAGCCGGAUGUGAAAUCCCCGGGCUUAACCUGGGAAUGGCAUUCGGGACUUCAAGGCUGGAAUGCGGCAGAGGAGACUAGAAUUCCUGGUGUAGCAGUGAAAUGCGUAGAUAUCAGGAGGAAUACCGAUGGAGAAGGCAGGUCUCUGGGCUGACACUGACGCUCAUGCACGAAAGCGUGGGGAGCAAACAGGAUUAGAUACCCUGGUAGUCC
rnacentral:rRNA from 1 species